AUGAAAGGGGUAGGAUUUUAGGAUU
rnacentral:piRNA from 1 species